rnacentral:rRNA from 1 species
CGACCGGCCACACUGGGACUGAGACACGGCCCAGACUCCUGCGGGAGGCAGCAGUGGGGAAUAUUGCACAAUGGGCGAAAGCCUGAUGCAGCGACGCCGCGUGGGGGAUGACGGCCUUCGGGUUGUAAACCUCUUUUACCACCAACGCAGGCUCCACGUUCUCGUGGGGUUGACGGUAGGUGGGGAAUAAGGACCGGCUAACUACGUGCCAGCAGCCGCGGUAAUACGUAGGGUCCGAGCGUUGUCCGGAAUUAUUGGGCGUAAAGAGCUCGUAGGCGGCAUGUCGCGUCUGCUGUGAAAGACCGGGGCUUAACUCCGGUUCUGCAGUGGAUACGGGCAUGCUAGAGGUAGGUAGGGGAGACUGGAAUUCCUGGUGUAGCGGUGAAAUGCGCAGAUAUCAGGAGGAACACCGGUGGCGAAGGCGGGUCUCUGGGCCUUACCUGACGCUGAGGAGCGAAAGCAUGGGGAGCGAACAGGAUUAGAUACCCUGGUAGUCCAUGCCGUAAACGUUGGGCGCUAGGUGUGGGGACUUUCCACGGUUUCCGCGCCGUAGCUAACGCAUUAAGCGCCCCGCCGGGGG